UAGAACUUUAAAAACCAACAUCGGUGCAAUAAAAAAUAAUCCUACCUUGCAACAAAAAAAAACAAAAAAAUCUUAAUACGGGGUACAACAAUCAAUUCUCCGAUUUCUUCUCUUUUGAGAAUCUUUCGGUCAACUUUAUUUCUUAGCCAAAACCUUAAAAAUUUGAGGAAUAGUGAAUUUGUGAUGUUUGUAGCCAUGCACCAAAGCCUCAUGAAACGCUUCGUAGCUAUCCUCUAUCAAAUAGGGGAAUUCUUUACGUAUUUACUAUAUACUAAAGUUGAGUUACUGUAGCUAAGGACCGCAUACUUUUACAGUUUUGCCCCUAUUUUGCGUUUAUUUACAUUAUUGCCACCACUUACCUGAUGUUCUUGGCUGUUGUUGUGUGGCCACGUCAUUACUGCGUCUUUCUCUUCCUUUUAUUUCUUCUAUUGAACUCAGCCACCGACUCUCUCUAUCUCCUUAAUCAGUCCUUAUUCCUUCUUCGUCUCUCGCUCUCCUCGCUUCCCUCAGAUUGGAAUAGGUAAGGUUUGCUAUUCGAUCUGGGUUUAAAUCUUUUCUGGGUGUUGCUCUGUAUAUAGUUUCUAUCUUUCUCCCUGUGUUUUGUGAUUUUGAUUUGGGUGAUUGUAUUUAUAGGUAAAUGUAUGAUUGAUUAUCGUUGCCGUUGUCAUCGAUUUGUUCUCCAAUUUCUUCAAUUGUUUUGUGAUUUUGAUUUGGGUUAUUGUAAUUAUAAGUAAAUGUAUGGUUGAUUAUCGUUGUGGUUUUGUAUCGAUUCAUAA
rnacentral:lncRNA from 1 species